CAGAUGUCAUGGGUCCCAUAAACACAAAAGAGGCAUUUUUUGCCUGGUGGGGCACCCUCUAACCUUGUCUCAAUAAGAGGGUAAUAUAACAAGGGUAUAUUUGAUAGGUUUAUAAAUGGUAAGAAUGACUCCACCAGCCAGGACAUCCAUUACCAAUGGCGGGGAACCAGCUAAAAGUCGUAUCAGGAGGCAGAGAUGAGAAGCAUGGUUAAGAACUUCUUAGUGGUAUUAGAUCUCACACCAGGUCAUAUGGGUGGACUUCAUAUGAGUAUCACAGGAGGUGGUCCAGUGAGCGAGUGCUCAGUUGUAGGUGGGAGUUUCGUGGAGAACUGAGUUAACUGGAAGCUUUGAGCAUUGUGAUUCUGCUGCACGUCUGUCUGGGUAUCCCUCUGUUCAUGCGUUCGUGCUUCUAUUCACUAUUUACUGGCUCUAGUCUCCUUUCCAAGGUAGAGCUGGACUAUAUUUUGAUCUGGAACAUUGCUUUUUUAGCCAGU
rnacentral:lncRNA from 1 species